UACGGAGGGUGCAAGCGUUAUCCGGAUUUACUGGGUUUAAAGGGUGUGUAGGCGGACUUUUAAGUCAGCGGUGAAAUCUCCGGGCUCAACCCGGAAACUGCCAUUGAUACUAUUGGUCUUGAAUAUUGUGGAGGUGGGCGGAACGGGUCAUGUAGCGGUGAAAUGCUUAGAGAUGACCCGGAACACCGAUGGCGAAGGCAGCCCACUGCGCAAUGAUUGACGCUGAGGCACGAAAGCGUGGGGAUCAAACAGG
rnacentral:rRNA from 1 species